rnacentral:rRNA from 1 species
UGGGGAAUUUUGGACAAUGGGCGAAAGCCUGAUCCAGCAAUGCCGCGUGUGUGAAGAAGGCCUUCGGGUUGUAAAGCACUUUUGUCCGGAAAGAAAUCCUUGGCUCUAAUACAGUCGGGGGAUGACGGUACCGGAAGAAUAAGCACCGGCUAACUACGUGCCAGCAGCCGCGGUAAUACGUAGGGUGCAAGCGUUAAUCGAAAUUACUGGGCGUAAAGCGUGCGCAGGCGGUUUGCUAAGACCGAUGUGAAAUCCCCGGGCUCAACCUGGGAACUGCAUUGGUGACUGGCAGGCUAGAGUAUGGCAGAGGGGGGUAGAAUUCCACGUGUAGCAGUGAAAUGCGUAGAGAUGUGGAGGAAUACCGAUGGCGAAGGCAGCCCCCUGGGCCAAUACUGACGCUCAUGCACGAAAGCGUGGGGAGCAAACAGGAUUAGAUACCCUGGUAGUCCACGCCCUAAACGAUGUCAACUAGUUGUUGGGGAUUCAUUUCCUUAGUAACGUAGCUAACGCGUGAAGUUGACCGCCUGGGGAGUACGGUCGCAAGAUU